CCUACGGGAGGCAGCAGUGGGGAAUAUUGGACAAUGGGGGGAACCCUGAUCCAGCGACGCCGCGUGAGUGAAGAAGUAUUUCGGUAUGUAAAGCUCUAUCAGCAGGGAAGAAAGAAAUGACGGUACCUGACUAAGAAGCCCCGGCUAACUACGUGCCAGCAGCCGCGGUAAUACGUAGGGGGCAAGCGUUAUCCGGAUUUACUGGGUGUAAAGGGAGCGUAGACGGCAGUGCAAGUCUGGAGUGAAAGGCGGGGGCUCAACCCCCGGACUGCUCUGGAAACUGUACGGCUGGAGUGCAGGAGAGGUAAGUGGAAUUCCUAGUGUAGCGGUGAAAUGCGUAGAUAUUAGGAGGAACACCAGUGGCGAAGGCGGCUUACUGGACUGUAACUGACGUUGAGGCUCGAAAGCGUGGGGAGCAAACAGGAUUAGAUACCCGAGUAGUC
rnacentral:rRNA from 1 species